ACUGCAGUGGCCCUUUUUGACCUGAAGGAGAUACCGUACCCCGGGGGCAAAGUCCGUUCUGAGCGCCAUUUUUAAAAGAACGUUUGUUACUGCUGUGAAAGGAUUUGAAGGAAUAUAAAUGCCCUCCUUGUUCUACCUGGUCCUCGUCUCACCUGGAAUCCCUGAUCCAACUGUUGUCUCCGAUGCUUUAACUCUCCGGUUGGCAAUUCCUGUCAUCACAGCAUCGUAAUCACAACGCAGAGUCUCUGAGGUUCCCGGAGAGGUGUCAGUACAAGAGGAUUACAGCUGUGAGUUAUUCAUCAACUGAGACCGGACUGCUCGCUGAGCCAAAGCUAUUCUCGACUGGAUGACAAAGUUAGAGGUCAGACCACAAAGUAAUGAGCCACCCACCCAACAUUCCCGGAUGAGGUUGUUUUCCAUGUCGGAGUCAAGAUUGCACAAACUGUGGUCGUCCCAACGCAGACUUUCAUCCCAGAGGAAGUCCUGGAGAUUCUGCUGCAGUUUGUUCACACUGACGUCUGCGUCUUCUUCCUGCAGAUUUCUGAACACAAACGAGAAGAAAUGAGGUCCCUGGAUCGCCCUCAUCAGAUCCUGCACAUUACAUCAUUCUGGACACCCCUACCCCAACCAGUGCCCCUAUAAUUGGAGGUACAACUUGGAUUCAGCCUUAAUCUGGAAGGAUCGUUGUCUGUCGCUGCUCGUCAAUGAGAAGCAGAUGGACGUUUACUCUGAAUGCUGACGUGUAGCAGAAGAUCUGGUCUGAGGGAACCAUCCAGGAGUGAAGAAGCAGCCGGGGCCGAACACGAAGCCGGUUUGGUGCAGGAAAAAACUGGAAUCAAAGACUAAAAAACGUCUGCAAAUCAAAUGAAAUCUGUCAAUUCACAGGGUUCACAUUUGAUUGGUAAGUUUGUGAAAAUAAUGUAAAAAAAAAA